UGAGACACGGUCCAGACUCCUACGGGAGGCAGCAGUAGGGAAUCUUCCGCAAUGGGCGAAAGCCUGACGGAGCAACGCCGCGUGAGUGAUGAAGGUCUUCGGAUCGUAAAACUCUGUUAUUAGGGAAGAACAUAUGUGUAAGUAACUGUGCACAUCUUGACGGUACCUAAUCAGAAAGCCACGGCUAACUACGUGCCAGCAGCCGCGGUAAUACGUAGGUGGCAAGCGUUAUCCGGAAUUAUUGGGCGUAAAGCGCGCGUAGGCGGUUUUUUAAGUCUGAUGUGAAAGCCCACGGCUCAACCGUGGAGGGUCAUUGGAAACUGGAAAACUUGAGUGCAGAAGAGGAAAGUGGAAUUCCAUGUGUAGCGGUGAAAUGCGCAGAGAUAUGGAGGAACACCAGUGGCGAAGGCGACUUUCUGGUCUGUAACUGACGCUGAUGUGCGAAAGCGUGGGGAUCAAACAGGAUUAGAUACCCUGGUAGUCCACGCCGUAAACGAUGAGUGCUAAGUGUUAGGGGGUUUCCGCCCCUUAGUGCUGCAGCUAACGCAUUAAGCACUCCGCCUGGGGAGUA
rnacentral:rRNA from 1 species